rnacentral:rRNA from 1 species
GUCUAUGGCCAUGCCACCCUGAAUAUGCCUGAUCUCAUCUGAUCUUAGAAGCUAAGCAGGGUUAGUACUUGGAUAGGAGAACACCUAGGAAGACCAGGUGCUGUAGGUG